AUUGAACGCUGGCGGCAGGCCUAACACAUGCAAGUCGAACGAGUGGCGGACGGGUGAGUAAUGUCUGGGAACCUGCCUGAUGGAGGGGGAUAACUACUGGAAACGGUAGCUAAUACCGCAUAACAUCAUAUGUGCCCAGAUGGGAUUAGCGAGUGGGUGUGGUAACGGCUCACCAAGGCGACGUUCCCUAGCUGGUCUGAGAGGCUGACCGGCCACCCUGGAACUGAGACACGGUCCAGACUGCUACGGGAGGCAGCAGUGGGGAAUAUUGCACAAUGGGCGCAAGCCUGAUGCAGCCAUGCCGCGUGUAUGAAGAAGGCCUUCGGGUUGUAAAGUACUUUCAGCGGGGAGGCGUUACCCGCAGAAGAAGCACCGGCUAACUCCGUGCCAGCCGCCGCGGUAAUUC
rnacentral:rRNA from 1 species